rnacentral:rRNA from 1 species
UACGUAGGGUGCAAGCGUUGUCCGGAAUUAUUGGGCGUAAAGAGCUCGUAGGCGGUCUGUCACGUCGGCUGUGAAAUCCCGAGGCUCAACCUCGGGUCUGCAGUCGAUACGGGCAGACUAGAGUAUUGCAGGGGAGACUGGAAUUCCUGGUGUAGCGGUGAAAUGCGCAGAUAUCAGGAGGAACACCGGUGGCGAAGGCGGGUCUCUGGGCAAUAACUGACGCUGAGGAGCGAAAGCGUGGGGAGCGAACAGG